rnacentral:misc_RNA from 1 species
GAUGAAGAACGCAGCGAAAUGCGAUAAGUAAUGUGAAUUGCAGAAUUCAGUGAAUCAUCGAAUCUUUGAACGCACAUUGCGCCCCUUGGUAUUCCGAGGGGCAUGCCUGUUCGAGCGUCAUUAUAACCCCUCAAGCUCAGCUUGGUGUUGGGGCCUGCUGCACUGGCAGCCCUUAAAAUCAGUGGCGGCGCCAUCUGGCUCUAAGCGUAGUAAUUCUUCUCGCUAUGGAGUCCUGGUGGAUGCUUGCCAUCAACCCCCUAUUUUUCUAUGGUUGACCUCGGAUCAGGUAGGGAUACCCGCUGAACUUAAGCAUAUCAAUAAGCGGAGGA